rnacentral:rRNA from 1 species
CAAUAGCGUAUAUUAAAGUUGUUGCGGUAAAAAAGCUCGUAGUUGGAUUUCUACCGAAGAUAGCCGGUCGGGUCUUCGACCUUGUAUCUGGUUUUGUCUUUGGUAUCCUCAUAGGGAACGUUUCUGCGCUUUAUUGCGGGGUGCGGUAUCUAUGACUUUUACUUUGAGGAAAUUAGAGUGUUCACGGCAGGCAAACGCCUUGAAUAUAUUAGCAUGGAAUAAUAACAUAGGAUCUUCGUCCUAUUUUGUUGGUUUCUAGGGCUAAGAUAAUGAUUAAUAGGGAUAAUUGGGGGCAUCUGUAUCAACGCGUCAGAGGUGGAAUUCUUGGAUUGCGUUGCGACAAACUACUGCGAAAGCAUUUGCCAAGGAUGUUUUCAUUGA